UGCGGAGGGUGCGAGCGUUGUCCGGAAUCACUGGGCGUAAAGGGUGCGUAGGCGGCGCGGGGAGUCAACGGUGAAAGCUCGGCGCUCAACGCCGAGUCGGCCGUCGAUACUCCCGUGCUCGAGCACUGUAGAGGCAGGUGGAAUUCCGGGUGUAGCGGUGGAAUGCGUAGAGAUCCGGAAGAACACCGGUGGCGAAGGCGGCCUGCUGGGCAGUAGCUGACGCUGAGGCGCGACAGCAUGGGGAGCAAACAGG
rnacentral:rRNA from 1 species